CUGGCCUUGAACACUGCCAGGGAUGGAGCAUUCACAACUUCCCUGGGGAACCCAUUCCAGUGCCUCACCACCCUAACAGUAAAGAACUUCUUCCUUAUAUCCAAUCUAAACUUCCCCUUGGAUAAACUCCGAGGAAAACUAAAACCAAACCAGCAAACCCCAAAUGUGUGGGGAGAGUUGGAUCCAUGUGGCCACAGAGCCCUGUAUGAGUGUUUGAAGAGAGAGCUCUGCCACAGCACAGUGGCAGGUCUCUGUGCAAAAAGAUGAGGAUCAGGGCCUGCACAGUCUUCUGUAGUUUGGUCCUUUCCACAGGUUAAAUUCCCCCCCAGGUAUAUGGCCCUAUGCAGAAUGUAAAAAUGGUAAUAGAAAUAAUACAAAAUUACAGUUGGUAUAAUGUAAUUCACUGCCAAAGAAAUCCCAGCAAAACUUUCCAUAUAUCAUGAGGAAUUCAGUGAUACAAAAUAAACUUGCAUUGCUUCAGGAGGGCUGCUAGUUCAGGAGCUUGAGUUCAAACAGGGUCUGUCUCAAACUGCAGGCACAAGACAUGACUAAAAGUUGAUUUGGCCUGUGCUAGUGAAGCAGCAAAGGGAGGAAAGCGUGGGUUGAUCUGCCAAGACCCCCAUGCACAGGAUCUAACAUGUCCCAACAUGUAGAGUUAAUAGGCCCAAGGGAUAGAGUGGUCCCUUGUUUGAGUAUAAUGACUUGACACUUUUGUUACUCUUAAAUCUCUUACCUUCCUCAAUUUUAAGUUUCCAUUCUCUCACAGUGUAGAUCGGAGCUGCAGUAUCCGGAUAAGGAAUCAGGGAUGCAGCUAGCACUACUCAGACUCACCAGCCACAGAGGAAGCCAUGUGUGAAAAGGCUUCAUGAUCUGGAUCAUGGGAGAUGCUGGUCCAAGCCUUUAUCUCUCCUCGUGCAUUUGGUCUUAUUCUUGACAAACAAAACCAGUGCAGAUCCAUCGCAAUGAUGAUACUGCAUGAAACUGGAUGCAAGGCCUACAGAAAGCAGCUAAGCAUCUCCACACUUACGUAGACCUAAGAAAACACUCAAAGUAAGAAGGAGUAUGAUUUGUAAGUGCCAGAUCUAUUCCAGCUCCCUGAAUUAACAUAUUACU
rnacentral:lncRNA from 14 species